CUUGCUUCAGCGGCACAUAAUACUAAAAUUGGGAACAAUACAGAGAUGAUUAGGGUGACACCCAAAUCUGUGCAGUGUUCCAUAUUUUU
rnacentral:snRNA from 1 species